AUAGCCAUAUCACGUUGAAACACAGGUUCUCAUACGGUUACCGAAAUUAAGCAACGUUGAGCCUGGACGUUACCUCAAUGCGUGACCGCUUUGGAAUACCAGGUGCUGUAAG